GGUGUUUGGUUAGAAAGAAUUUGGAUUUGAAAAAUGAAUAAAAAUGGAUGGCUCUUAAUCCAAUUAUUUAUGACCAUGAACCAAAUAUUUUAAAAGAUACGAAUAUUCUGAUUCUCAUUCUAAUUUAUUUUUAUUCUGUUCCUAUUCCUAUUUCGAUCCGGAGUGCGAACCAAACAUCCUUUUAAGUUGCUUAAAAUUUAAACAUACAUUACCACAUAGCGCAGAUUAAGUACAUAAGUAGAAACACCUACAUGGGCAUAGCAACUCCCUACACAAAGCCACAUCCAUCUAGUUACCUCAUCCUAA
rnacentral:lncRNA from 1 species